UACGAAGGGGGCUAGCGUUGCUCGGAAUCACUGGGCGUAAAGCGCACGUAGGCGGAUUGUUAAGUCAGGGGUGAAAUCCUGGAGCUCAACUCCAGAACUGCCUUUGAUACUGGCGAUCUCGAGUCCGGGAGAGGUGAGUGGAACUGCGAGUGUAGAGGUGAAAUUCGUAGAUAUUCGCAAGAACACCAGUGGCGAAGGCGGCGACCUGGUCCGAUACUGACGCUGAGGCGCGAAAGCGUGGGGAGCAAACAGG
rnacentral:rRNA from 1 species